rnacentral:rRNA from 1 species
UCUUUCUUUGCUGGCGACCGGCGCACGGGUGAGUAACACGUAUCCAACCUGCCCUUUACUCGGGGAUAGCCUUUCGAAAGAAAGAUUAAUACCCGAUAGUAUAAUGAUUCCGCAUGGUUUCAUUAUUAAAGGAUUCCGGUAAAGGAUGGGGAUGCGUUCCAUUAGGUUGUUGGUGAGGUAACGGCUCACCAAGCCUUCGAUGGAUAGGGGUUCUGAGAGGAAGGUCCCCUACAUUGGAACUGAGACACGGUCCAA